UACUGGUUAUUGGACCAAAAAAUAAUUUGUAAUUUAUAAUAUACACAAACAUUUGGACUGAAAAAGCCAUUCUGGAGAAAUGGUCCAUUAAUACUGUUUGUUUUCAAGACAUGCAGCACUGGUCUCGAUUCAUGACAAACUCAACAAAACAAACAACUAGAACUUGUCAGCAAAACUGAGACUGCUGACACCAAUUGCUUUCAAAUUUGGAUUUUUACAUUCGAGGCCCAUGGCACUUAAAGAUACUUCUCUUGAAAAUCUAAUGACUAUCAGUUUAAUUAUUUAACUAGUGAAAUUACUUAAGUGGCUAUUUCCUUUAUUAGAUAUUACGCUAUUUGACCACUAUUAUUUUGAAUAAACAGGCAGAUUAUUCACUUUGUGCAACUUUACCAUGACCUCCUUCUCUACUGUGGAAUGUUUCUUCUCAAAUCGCAGACUGUAGACACACCACCCUGAGAUUGGAUCCUGCACAGUCUGUUAAAGGCUGUCCAAUAAGAGCUAUUUGAGCAAGGAUUUGCCUCUCCUAUUCAAUUUAGUGAAGCGAGAGUCCGCUGUAGUUUUACUUUAUUGAAUGCUGUAGAUCUUUCUCAUCACCUAAUUCAUUUUUACAGGCAGACACUCACCAACUCAAUCCACUUAGGAAUAUAAAGACAUUCCUGAGAAGACUAUAUUACCAGCACAUCACAGCCACUGUUUAGUACUGUAGACUUCACUCAUUCACUGUCUGCUUAAAAUCAAGCUUAAGUAGCACCUUGUUAGCUUUUUUCCUCAUUCACUAAAAAUUAUUGGAUUUACAUGUCAAGAUGAUGCCUGCAUCAGUUUUUUCUCCCACAUGUUGUUUUCUCAAGCUAUGCCAGCCUAGUGUGAGGAAAAAAUAUAACUAUUUGUACAAGAAAGCAAUCAUUUAAGUAUGUUUUGUCCUCAUAAGAACUCUAAUAAGGGAAAUAAAAUAACUGCAACAGCUGCCUUUACUAACUACAGUCAUCAGCUGGGUGGAAAAAAGGUAUUCAAAAGAAGUUUUUUCUUUUUCACUUGAGCUUAAACAAGAUACUGAGUAUCUGAGAUUUUGCUAUCAUUCUGCCUUUCCCAGAUAGGCUGCUUAAUCUGUAAUAAGAUACAACAAUCCUUUUUGACUCCCUUCUAAAAUGGAAAUACACCAGUGUGGCACAAUUAACUGGAGGUAUUCAGUUAUGAGACAGAAUGAGAGAAUGAAUUAUAUUAAAAGUAUCCAGUGGAAAAUAUCUUGAUAAUGCAAGGGAGUUUAUUAUUUAUGAUUUCAUUGGCUCCUGGUUUGCUCCUUAUCUGAAAUUGUGCAUCUUUGUCACAUCAACUGCUUUUAGGAAAAAUAGUAACUUUAGUACUAAGAUAUACUAUAACAGUUGGCAUUUGGCACUUAAAAAAAAAUCUUUCCUUAGAUGCCAGCAAAACAAAAGAUGAAUACAGGCAAACAGAUAGCAGAAACUAGAAUCACUUCUGAAGCAUGAGUAAGGACAUCACUUUUCUAAGAAAGUAAAGAAUAAGUAGAGGUGUUAUCUAAAUUGAUUCUGAAGAAGCAGAUUCAUUUAACUCCAUGCCUCUAGGUGCUAUCAGGAAAACAUGUAGAAAUCAUAGAUGUAUGGUAAAAAAAAAAUACUGCAAAUCUUUAAUCUUAUUGUCAUGCUGCAGGCCUAAUAAUAUCAAGCACUAACUUGCUGAGGGGUAAAAAUGCAAUUGAGAACAUUGUAUCUUAAGUGACAUAUUUUAGAAUCAUACAAUAUCACUGAAUCUAACUCCUGACUCCUCACAGUCCUAAGAGGACCUCACCACCUGCUCAAAUACAGACAAUUAAAGUAUUUUUCUUAUUCAAAAGUUGUCUCCUUACUUUUAUACCAUGUUUUCAACACAUCUGUUAGGCUCAUUAGUAUAGACUUUGUUAGUUAUCUGCUUCUAAUCACAUGACUUCUAAGUGUUUACAAGAGUGUUUAUUAGGGUUUACAGCUUCAACCACAUUCCACAGAGAUCAAAAGGAGCCUUUCAUCAAGGUAUGAGGACAUCAAGCCUGCCUGUGAUCUUAAGUAGCUAUAUCCCAUCCUUGAGCUAAGUUGUUAGAGAUCAGACUCCAUUUUUGCAUGUACUUAGGCUGUCAUUUUCUGUGAUCUAGCUUUCAGCAAAAACUUGAACUUUCAUUGUCUCUCCAAAGACAAGCAUCUUAAUUCAGAACCAAUUAUGAGGUAAAAGAUUUCCAGAUUAUAAGGACAGACAAAAAUAUUUUGAGCAUGUAGUCUGACCUCCAGCCUGACCCACGCUGCAGUAGUUCCCUAAGAAAGUAUUGAGUUACUAAAUAAAAUGAAAUGAUUGUCUUGUUGAAGUCUGUGUUGAAAUUUCUACUUGCCUUGGCUUUUUGGUUUGGCUACUGUUGUUUACAGUCUCUCAUACACUAAGACAAACACUGCAACUACACUGCAAAUUGUCUUUUAAAAUCUUCUGUUGUAUAUUUUACCAAUAAAUAUUUUAACAGCAGCCCCUGCAAACAGCGCAGCUUGCACACCAACACCAUUCAAAUAUCACUCUCAAAUCUGCUGCCGAGACUAUGAAAAAAAAUCCUAAUUCCACAAUUUUUGUGCUUUGAUGGUAAUACAGUUUUGUACUGAUUGCUCCACAUUAGGAGAAUUUUAAACAUUUUAAACACCUCGAAAUUCCAAAUCCCUAGAAAAGCAAUUCAAAUGAAACUCCUAAUUGGUCUGCAGUAAGUGUAAGGGUAUAGCCAAAAAUAUGCCUCCAUGUGCAACAUUAAGUGGAAAUUUUAGUGUGCCACUAGCACUGGAAGCAGAGACAAGACUGAUGAGUUGAAACAGUCAUUAAAACAAACAAGCAAGCAACAAACACUGAAUAAUCUGAUGCCAGUGUUCAAGUUAUAAUUUAACAAGCACAGAUGCUGAGUUAUAUUAUUGUUUGCUUUUCAUAUACUUUACAAAUUAUUUUGCAUUUUUGUAUUAGUACAAACUAGGCAAAAGCUCUCUCUGAUAUAUUAGAUGAUAUGCACCUUAGGGGAGCUUCCUCCUCCCCUGUCUGUUGACUGUUCUUUUAAUCAUAAGUUAGUUGGCGGUCCACUCAAUGCUUGGGCUGGGCUAGCAAGAGACAAAUCAUUUCACUUCAGAAAACUAUUAAUCUUGGUGGCACUGUGCUUGUGUGCCAUGAUUUACUAAAACAAAAUAAUCUCAUAGUGCUCAACUUAAAAUUAGACACCCGUCUUACAUAAUGGUAUACAUUUACUUAUAUGAUAAAGCAAUUGAAUCAUGAGGAUUCAUUAGUAACAGUAGUUGUAGUUGUUCAUUAGUAGUAGUAGUUGUACUACGAGAGACCAAAUUGAUGACUACUGAAAUGUUUUCACCGCUGUAAAAUGCAUACAAAUUCUUUUGGGGAAAGAUAGCUGUAUUAAAGUAUUUAAUUAUAGUAUUGCCAAGAUCAGGUGAUUUAAAAUUAGGCCAUCAGCCCUACAUGCCAUCGUAUUGGUGAAAAUAGAGACGAAUGUACAUCAAGACCAAAUAAUUAAAAAUCAAUACGAAUUUCCCUUCUUUACCAGUUCCUCACCUCAGCUGCUCUUCUAAAAAGGACAUCCUCACUUUCCAUUACACAGCACGGGCAGGUAUUGGUGCUUUAGUCUAACCAAUCUUCUAGGGGAUAUUGACCCAUACCAGGAAUAGUUUACCUUUUGGUGUAAUUCAGAACUGGGCAAACUUACUGAACUUACAAUCUGAAUGCAUUUACUGAUUGAUGUUCUACCUGAAUCUAGUGACUUUCAUAUCAUUAAACUAUUUUAUUACAUGAUCAGUUAGCCUUCACAUUCUAAAAUUCCAGAAUUAUGUCUAUUUAAAAUAAAUACGGUGAAUACAGAAAAAAAAGUGAGCUAUACCUGCAUUUUGUAGAAAUCUACACCAGUCAAAUGUUUCAAUGGGAGUAGUCCUGAUUCCUGUGUUGAAGAAAAGAGAAAUAUGACAUGUUUGUUUCUUGGAUGGCUGAACCAUGCGUCUUAAGGUCUUGCUAUAAGAAAACAUAUUAACAUAUUCCUCUCAAGCACACCUCACUUCAUACACAACAAUACAGGCAAUGGCAAAGAGUUCGACUUCAGAGAAGUCAGCAUUUCAAACCAAGGCCCAUUUCAGCAAAACAUUUCCAGAGAAAAGAAGAUAGAUACAUAAACAUACAGGUACUAAAUAUAUUAACUAAAUAAAUUGAAUGCAUUAGUAAAUAUUUCAAAACUCUCACCUUGAUAUUGGACAUAUAUUUUCUGGCUAGCAUCUGGCUUCAAAGAGAAGGAGAAGAAAAGUGAUUUAUAGUUCAUCAUAAAAGAUCUGCUCAGUCUUUACAAAAAAAUCUAGUAUAACAAUAUGCUCAUCACAGUGAUUUUCUUUUCACAAGACAGAUCAUUAGAAAGUAAUAUUUUAAUAAGACUAAAAGCCAACAAAAUCAAAACUUUAAAUUACAUUAACAACAAGAAUUUACAGUGUAAAGGGAUCAGUUUUGUAAUUAACACGAUUAUCAGGUCAGUAGAAGCACGUUUUUUUAGUUUAGCUCUGUGUACUUUCUCAUAAUCAUUAACUUGAUAAAUGGCACAGAAAAAGAAAAUAUGUUCAAUUACAGAACAGCCCUAGCUCUCAAAAACUCUGGUUUUCAAAUAAAAAGUACAGCUAGUUUUAGAACCACAGACACAUCUAUCCGUAAUAGAAGUUUAAAACACACCAAGCAUGAAUCCAGCCCUUCUUACCACUAACCUUUUCAAAGGCUGCUGCCAAAUAUACGUAAGACAUGUCUAUACAGGAACAUGGGCCAGGAGUGGUUACUGCAGUUAUUCCCAAAUAAGAAUUGCACAUGAAAUUAUUUUAAAAUAGAUAUAGUAAAAGUGGUAAUUGCAACACUUCCAACGUUUCUCCUGAAGAGUUAGUACACUAGUAAUUUAGCAUAUUAUUAAACAAACUAGUUCUUACUUCAUUGCCUUUCUGUAACUCCAACCAUGAACUUGUGGAAUAUGAAACUUUCUUUAAAAAAAAAAAAAAAAACACACACAAAAAAACAAAAAACAAAAAAAAAGAAAUCUUCUCAGGAUCUUUCAAAAAGGACAACAAAACAGAACAAAAACUAACAAUCGAAUGCACUCUUCCCCUCCAGCAAAAAAAGCACAGUUUCUUUGAGUUCAAUUGUAAACAGUCUGCGUUCAGACAAUUCCUACUUCUUUUAAAAGCACUGGUUGCCUUAGGAGUAAGGUAGGGAAUUGCUCAACUCACUCAUUCUCCAACAGAUUUGCUCAAUAUUACCUCGCAAGUUUCAGUUUGAAAUCACAUUCUUUCAAGCAGUUCUAAUGAUACUAUUGCUUAGUGUACCAUCCCAGAGUCCCAAAACAACCUUUGCUAGAACAUCAGUCUUUGCUGACUUAGGGCUAAAUGCUCUUUGCUACCAUUUCACCAUGGAGAGAAGCACAGUCCCCCCAACAGACUGACUCAGUGAGUCACAGAGGAUCUGACUAUUGUGCCUCUUUUUAAGGUGCUAAUGGGAAAAAGAGUCCCAUAUUGCCCCUCCAACCACCCUGCUUUUGAACAGUGGGAAAUGGCCAACACAGAUGAUGCACUGCUGAACUCCUCAAGCUAAGAACUGCUAUGCAGACUUGUCUCAGUGUGGUGACAUAAUGCAGGUACAGUUACAUGAGGUAGAGCACAACGCUGCUGGAUCACAUCACUCUGCACAUUAGUUUUCCCUUCUCCUCUCCCAUCUCCACUCCAACCUCAGCACUGUGAAAUCACAUCCGAAGGAUGACUUCAGGGUAGGAAGAAAAAACAAAAAUUAAUGCAGAAACAAACUACUAAAGCAACAAAUUCCUGAACCAGUCCACUCAGGAAAUAAGUCAAAGUAGUGGUGACUUUUUUUAUUCUUCCACUUGAAGGCAUUUUGUGAGGAUUUUUUAAUUCAGAAUUUCUACAUGACUGCCCCUACAGUUCACUGCUCGGUCAUAACAGUCUAUUUUAGUUAUUAAAGAUGUACUGGAGAAAGAAAAAUAGUAAAAGAAAUGGACAGAAAAGGGCUCAGGAAGAAGUGAAUAGUCAUCAACAAGCAGCUCACAGAUGGGAAGAGGACAGUUCCAGAGAAUCAGAGAAUCCAGAGUGAAUCAGCCACAUCACAAAAACAACGUGAGCAAGCAGGUCCAGUAAUAAAUGAAGUGGAAAAAAUGUAAUGCUGUUUAUGUUACAGUAGAAGACUGAGGACAUCUUUCAAAAGACAAAUGAACUUUCGUGAUCCAACAAUUUAAAAAAUAAAGAAGAUGGUUUCAUAUGUUGUUUCAUUACUUAAUACUUCUUGGCUUUUUAUUAUUAUUAUUUUUUUUUAACUGUGAAUAAGUACCAUUUUAAAUUAAAUUCGAUUUUUCAAUCCAAAAAAAACCUUGCUAAUGAUGGAGACAGCACUGCAAGCUGAAGGACAAUUAAUUUUUUGGACAAGUGGAAGAGCUGAAAUUCAGAGCUAGGAGUUAAGAAGCAAUGAAAGAAAAAGUGGAAAGAAGGUAGAUGGGGCAGGGGGCAGAUUAAGCCAGCCUUGUCUCUAUAGCUGACAUACUGCAUAAUCCUGCCUCAGACUUUGGGGUUUAAAGAUAAGUUUUUUACUUCUCUAAAACUGUUACAUUUCAAAAAUAAGCUGAAAUUAAUUAAUUAUUUGGUUUCAUGCUCUGCAAGACCCUUAAUGACUAUGCAGUAACUAAAUAUAUUCCUGCCAAGGCUGGGAUCAUCAAGAAGAAAAGAGUAGAAAUUGUGUAACACGGAGUACAGAUAUAUUCACAUGUUAUAGAUCAAUUUUAUGUUAUACUCUUUAUUUUAAAUGGUAGUAGGGAGAGUAGAAAAAUGAAAUUGAAUACCAAUAAAACUGGCUUAGGUAAUUCUUAGGUACCAAUUUUACACUAUUGACAUAAAACACUGACCAUAAGCACAAGAUGUUUGAAAGUAUUUCACACUUACUUAGAAUACAGAUUAUUACAUAAGCUGUAUUAUGCAAUUCAUAAUUAAGGAUAAUUUAUCCAAUGUAAUAGGAAACAAGUUGAUGGAAGAUACAGGCCUCGUGCACAGUGGUAUUGCUUACAUGUUUGUAAUGUGAAUUAUUGGCUAAUUAAUAAAGCACACAUUAUAGGAAUAAUGUAUAUCACAUUAGGGUGAAUUAAUAUGUAAAGAGUGGUAAUAUUCUGUGAGCUGUGUUAUGGAAAGCUGUAUUUAUGCUUUUCAGUGUUUGAAAGAAAAUGUAUGACACUUGCUCUCACCCUUUAUACGAAAAUACAGAUCUGAGGAUCAAGUCCAAUUCCUGACUCCAUACAAGGCAACCUAAGAAUUUCUCAUCACUGGUUCAACUAUGGGAAAUAAAAAUGUGUUUCUUACUGAUAUUUCACAAGAUAAGAUUUUACCUGGCUUCUCCUAGCACUGCUCCCAUUACCCGACGUUUCUCUUCACUUCUGAUGUCUUCAUUUAUAUCUGUUCCUCCAAAGAUGAUUCCAAAAGGAAUUCUGCUACCUGCAAAACAAUAACCAAGGAGGUACUUCUAAUGCAAAAGAGGAAGAGAAUUACCUUGCAGAUGUCUGCCUCCUUUAUAAAGAUGAAUGGCCAGGGCUGCAUCAAAUUGAUCUGCAGAGGUUAGAUUCGCUAUUUCAGUCAGACUUUCACACCUGGAAGCAUCUUUGAGAAUGCAGAUGUGACCUGCAUCGUGCAGAUGACUCCUUCAUUGUAAGAACAGGUGACCAUGAAGCUAAAGCAAGGGGUUUUCCUGGAAAAGGUCUUCACCACUGCGCACACAGCCAUACAUUGUAGCCCAUACCUACUUUAAGGCCCCAGACUAUCAAUGCUUGGGGAAUCAGUGGAUGUGAACUCUGGACCAGCACCUCUCCUGUGUCAUUAUCUGCUCAAUUUGCUAAAAAGAUUACAUUUGAAUAGAGAAUGAAAGUCUUGGUCUUGGAUAACCUCAGACCCUUGUUCUGGAGAAAGGCCCCAACAAAUACGUCCAGCUACAUCAUGCUGUUAAGAAUACCUGCUCCUGUUUGCAGGAACAAAAAAAUGAAGGCAUAAA